rnacentral:lncRNA from 1 species
GUCGCUUCCCUUCGUCCCUCCCACACGCCUUCCUGCUCUCUUCCUCCUCCUCCCGGCCGCUGCCGCCUGCUGCUGUGUUCUUGAGCCUGGCAGGCAGAGGUCCGAUAACAGAACGGAGCUGGCGUAGCAGUGAGCCCCCUGAAACCAGCGUUCCCAGAGCCGAGAAGAUGGACGAUCAGCUUCCAGCACCCUCCCCCAGUCUGGCUGGGACUUGCAUCAGUCACGGCCAGUGGGGAAGGCUGGAGAGAGACACAUGCUUCCUGACCAUCCCGAAUCGGCGUCGAGAGCUCUGAGAUGAACUCUGCGGAAGCUGGUGAUUCUCACAGUGCUGGGACGGCCUCCCUCAGCCCGAGCCAGAUCCUGUGUUCCCUCGAUAGCGCGAGUUUCCGCCAUACGCUGUUUGACAGUGGGCAGCUUUGUAAAACCUACUCACGCCCAGUGCUGCC